rnacentral:miRNA from 1 species
ACCAUGUGAUAGGCAAGGAAGACUUAUUACAUUACUUUUUCUUUCAAAAAAAAAAAAAAACAAACAAACAAACAAAAAACCCCCCACUUCCCAUGUAAGUCUCUUUUAGCUACAUCAAUCCUCCACUUCUGUGCUCCCAGAGGACUGUACAGCCUCUAGAGAAACUGCCACAUUAUAUCACUGUAUUUCAAUUAGUUGAUGACAUUGGGUCUUCUCUGCUACAUUGUGUGGUCU